UGCUAUUUUGAAUUCUCUGUCUGAAAAGUCACCUCCUAUUUCUCCAGGUUUGGUCCCUCGUGCCUUAUUUAGCUCAUUUGGUGAGGUUAUGCUUCCCUGAAUGAUGUUGAUGUCUGUCACUAGUAGAUGUCCUUUGGUGUCUGGGCAUUGAAGAGUUAGGUAUUUAUUGUAGUCUUCUCAGUCUGGGCUUGUUUGUACCAGUCCUCCUUGGGAAGGCUUUCCAGAUUGUCAAAAGGACUUGGGCAUUGUGAUUUAAGCUAUAUCUGCUUUAGGGGCACCCUAAGCCCUGUAAUGCUGUGGUUCUUACAGACUCUAGAGGUACUGCCUUGAUGGUCUUGGACAAGAUGCGAAGAAUUCUCUGAUUACCAGGCAGAGACACUUGUGUUCUUCCCUUACUUUCUCCCAAAUAAAUGGAUUCUCUCUCUCCGUUCUGAGUCACCUGGAGCUGGUGGUGGUGUGACACGAAGCAUGAUUAGGACUGGGCUGGUUCAUACCUGAAGCCUGUGGAGCACUGGGUCUUGCUCAAGGCUUGUUUUAAUCAUUGCCUGGCUACAGCCUAUGUUUGCUCAAGGCCUUGGGGCUCUACAAUCAGCAGGUGGCAAAGUCAGUUAUGCCUGUGUUCUUCCCUUCAAGGCGGCAUGUUCCCCAGGCACUGAGUUCAAAGCCUCACAAAUGCUAUAAUCUCCCUCUCCCCAGCACACUAAAAUGCUCUCCAUACUAUGUCAGGGCUGCUGGAGGAUGGGGGAAAGGUGGCGUCAGUGAUUUAAGAGUGUUUUUCCUACCUCUUCAGUGUCUCUUUCAGCAAUACAAGGUUAACACCAUCUACAGUGUGCUCAUCUUUUUUUAGUUCUUAUGAAGGUGAUUUUUUUCGGUGUAGUUAUUAAAUGGGCAUCCUUGCAGGCAAGAUGGUUGGUGUCGCCUUCUAUUCUGCCAUCUUGUUCCACUCCAAAGUCUAACUGAAUUUUCUCAUUAGCUAGGAUUUAUUUACUAAAGAGAAAUUCUGCCUUCACUUUUGCCUCCCUUCACUUUUCUGUGUAACUUUUCCAGCACUUCAGACUCACCUUCUACUAGAGGCAGAGAAGGGAGAACUGACCCUGUCCUUUUACUAAAAAUGAUGAUCCCCCGAGAAAGCAGUGGAAUUCAACUCCAGGUGAGCCUGGAGGAAUCAGCCUGAAGGUGACUCUGCAGUUGCCGGCUGUUGUUCAGCAAAAUGGUCUCACUGGCCAGGAGUGAGCAGACUGUGCUUCUGGGUCCAAGCCACUGAUCACAUCUAAAGUGUUAUGCUUGAAACCCAGAAAAACAGAGGAAUGUACUCGUUGGAAAAUAUGUUUUCACCAUAAAAUUUCUGAGAAAGUAUAAGCUAUAAACUAGUUAACAUUUUUUUAAGGCAGCUGGUCAGAUAUAAAAGUAAGCUGGUGAUUGUAAAUACUAUGUCUGUGUCAGAGAAAUCGCAGAAGCACAAACAACUUUAAAAAUACUAACAGCUAGCCAGUUAAAGGAGAUAACCUUCGCCUGUUAUUUUGCUUGGGGCAGCAUACAGCCUGGAGUGGAAAACUGUCUGGCAGAAGACAGAAGACCUGGAUUUUGAAGCUUGUAUAUCCACAGAAAAUUUAUUUAUCCAGAAAUUUAAUGGUUUAACAGCCUGACUUUCGCAACUGCUAUAAAGAAGACACCACUAAUAUUUAUAUUGCUUUCAGUUUGCAGAGUCCUUUGUAGUUCACCAAGUGUGGUGGAAAUGAAGACUACAGAUCAGUGGUUCUCACAUUAGAAAUAGGGAACAUAAAAAAUACUGAUGGCCAGGCCCUACCCAUGCUGAAACUAGAAUCAGUAGGGAUAAGGCUUUGACAUUGGUAUUUUUAAAACAAGUAUCCCAGAUAGUUCUAAUAUGGUUAGCACUGUCUGAAACCAUGUUAAAAAUGGGAAAUACUGUAUGAUGGAAAAACAACUGAGGAAUAUGAACACAUUAGCCCUCCAUUUACAGGCUGAAUAGACUUUGGUGAGAAAUUUUAUCUUUAAUUCUCAAUUUCUUCAUUUGCAAAACAAGGAUAAAAAUCUUGUUAUCCCUUAUAUGGAGUUUUAAAGCUCAGGAGAGUUUCUCUGAAAACACUUCAUAAAUUAUGAUGUUCUGAUCAAAUGUCAGCUGUGACAUUGUUCUGACUCUAGUUCUAAAACACAGAAGGGUCAAUCAAAAGAGCUAAGCAAAAUUCACAGCCAGCCUGACAGCUAGAGUCACUGGAUGGCCAACUUUCCCGGAAGAAAAAAAUCUUUAAGACAUAAUACUAUGGUCAUCAAAUUCUAAAUGCCUGUCUCUGUAUUGGACUAGCUAUAAGAACAUAAAAUUCCAAGAGUAGAACUUUAGCAAGCAGUAAAAAAUAAGAAGAUUCAGGAAAAAGGAAUCCACAGGACCUCCACGGUACACCUAAAAUCCUCACUCAGGAAACAUAUAUUUCAUUUCAGUUUAGGCUAGCCCUGUUCUUUGACUACUAAAGUCAUGCUAUGAUGUAAGUAAACUAACUGGAACACAGUAAAUGCUUUAAAUGCCCAUUAGAAUACUGUCUAAUGUCUCAAUAUGAAGAAAUAGUCCCAUAAGGCUGUGUGUCUAUGUUCAUAGGCACAGUUAAAGAAAAAAGCAGCUAAAGAAGGGUGGGUUAGCCAUUAAGAAUAUAAGACCAAAGCUCUGGCCACAAAUACUGGAUCAUUGAGUCAUUAUUAACCACUCUCUUAGAGACUGUCCAUGUGUCAAGACUGUGUCUGCCUAAAGCUCUUUUUACCCAGUGAACCUAAUCCCUCAGCCUCUAUACACAGUCUAUUGGGUUCCUAGCAAUCAUUACAUUGUAACUGGCAUUCAUGAAACUAUAAUCACUGUAGGAGCAAAAAGAGAUCAGGGAACGCAGGUGGAUGCUUUCUGAAGGAGAUGAGGUCUCGGCUGAACCUUGAAGGUAGACAGGAUUGAACAGGCAAAACAAGAGGACAUUUUAAUGAAACAAAUAGCAUGACUCAUGGGAAAACUGAAGACAGAAAUAAGACAACAUUAACUGUAAUCUAUUUUCAGGUAACAAGGGUCAGAUUAUAUAGGGGUAAAAGUAGUUCCCAGAGAGGUCAAUGUAACAGUAGCAUUUUUCUCUACCACAUUCCUGAGUGUAGAUGACUUUCAAUAAAGUUGGUUGGAGAGAUUCAUGGUUUUUAGAAGAGAAAACAAAUAGCCUUCUACUGUAAAUGCACAAACUUGUUAUCCAUUCAGUCAAAAUCUAGUCAUUCUGGAAGUUUUUGUUUUUGUUUUGUUUUGCUUUUAGGAUCUUCUGUUGAGUGAGGCUCUGUGCUAAGUAUUGAGGACUCAUUGCUGGACAAAUCACGAUUCCUGUCCUCCAGCAGUUUACAACAGUCUUGCCAUUUUAAAAACCCAGAAAAAUAGAAGAACUCCUUGGGACCAAGUUUAAAUCCUGGUACAAAGACAGUUAUGUCUGGAGUCUAUAAUGGAACCAAGUCAUACCCCUUACAAGUUCCAAAUUCAGAAACCAGACAUCACGUCAUUGAUGUGUCAUCAAAAGCAGUGCCAGACUUCCUGUUCUCCCUGGGAAGGAUUCAAUGGCUAGUGAAAAUACAUAGAGGAGGUCACCCUGGGGAUUCAGCCCAAAUAUAUACAUGCCAAGAAAAUGCCAAAUCCAGGGCCUCAAGAUGUGAAAUCAGUUUUGCGCAGAUGCAACGGGGCAGCUUCUGAACUGAACUGCCAGCAAGCCUUAGAUUUUCAUCAUUGAUUCAUUCUUUAGUCAAAUAGGGAUGUUCCAAUAUUUUAUCAAUGUCUGUGCUCUAAGCAAGACUCUCAGAGGUGAAAUAUGUGUACAUUUACCCACACACAUAGAUAUGGUACCUUCAAAGAACAAAUAUAUAAAUGGUUCAAUCUUCCAGAAAAGAUUAAAAUUGUAUAAAUAAUAGAAGUAACAGAUGUGUCCUGACAUACUGGCGGAGUAAAUAAAUAGUAGAAAACUGUGUGUGCAUUAUAGUCUGAGGAAAAAUAACUUUAUGAAAUUCUGGUACAAAUCAUGUGUAUAAUUUCUCCUUUUUGUAAUAUUAUGAAAUAUUAAUAUUAUUGACUAUUGUUAAUCAAGUUGUACCAAAGCGAGUUACACAUUUUUAAGGAGGUUAUCUGCAUUUUUGCACUGAGGAAAAAAUAUAUAACAUUUGAAAACUGCAUAACUUAAAUGGUCUUGCAUGCUCACCCUAUCAAAUGCAUUUGGGAAGAGGUUCAUUCCUUUGUUAGGGUCUAACAUAAUUGCCUAUGGGAUGUCCAUUGUACGGUAGCCUUGAGGAGCCACAAAUCCCAUACUUCAAAAUAUUAUAAAGAAGCUGGUGCUAGGAAGGAGGUCAGAAGCCUGCAGAAACUCCAGUAUAAAGCUCAGAAAAAAAUAUCUGUGUUUGUUCACCCUCAGGGCAUUCCUACUCUGGGACAAGGUGCACUUGGAGAGAGUAAAGUCUCCCACCUUCCAAAGGCUACAAGUAAUAAGGAUAGUAUCUAAUCAUGUUUGAUUGUUGUAUUUUUGGGGGCAAUAAUGAGGGUGUGAAACCCUUUGUUUAAUUUUUGUGACCUGAAUUUUUAUUGUCAUUGUAAAUAAAAUAAUUAAAGUUCUAUUUAACACAGAAAAGAAGUCACCCAGAUUGGGGACAGAUUCUAAAAAAGAAUGGAAUGAAGACACUUUCAGGUUAAAAGGAACAGCAUUUGAACAUGCAGAAAGCGGUAGUAAUACUACUGCUAAUAAUAAUGUGCAUUUACUAUGUGAUUACGCUAAGUAUCAUGCUUAAUAAUUUACAUGCAUUCCCUCAAGGUAUGUCCCAAAAGUCUUUCAGUUAGAUGUUCCAUCAACAUUUUGCAAAUGAUGCAAUGAAUUGCAAACUCUCAAUGAAGCAAUAUAGCAUAGUUGAGGAGCUACAAGUAGUCUGUUAGUUCUGGAGUACAAGCUCCUCUAGGAAAGCAGGAAAAGUAGACUUGUAUUUUGUAUUCAAGUCUAAUAUUAAUAGUACAAUUAGCGUGAACAGUUAUGGGACAGAAAAGCUUCUCAAUGUUUUUUUCUCCUCCAUUUAAUACUAAGAUGUUUCUCAAGGCGAGACUAUUUUGAAUGACUAUACAGCUACCUACUGGAUUUCCUUUGUCCUUUUAGUUCUCCAGACUUUAAUCCAGGUUGCAGUCCUCUGAAAUUAAAGAGUAAAUGGAAAAGAUAUGAAACAUCUAGGGAGUUUUUCACCAUCUAAGUAUAUAAAGUUCUGUAAUGUCAGUUACUAAGAUGGCUUAGUUCUUUUGGGCUACUAUAACAAAAUACCAGAAACUGAGUAGCUAUAAACGGCAGUCAUUUAUUUCUCACAGUCUUGACAGCUGCAAGCCUGAGUUCAAAUUGCCUGCAGAUUUUUUGUUUGUUGAGGGCCUGCUCACUUUCUGAUUCAUAAAUGGCCCCUCAUAUGAUAUUUCUUCACAUGGUAGAAGAGACAAGGCAGCUCUCUGGGGCCUCUUUUAUGAAGACUUUGCCCUAAUGAUCUACUCACCUCCCAAAGUCCUCACCUCCUAAAAUGAUCACACUGGUGAUUAAGUUACUUAUGAAGUUUGAGGGGACACAAACAUCAGACCAUAGCAUAGGGUUUGCCAUGGUACCUAUAUAGAUCCCUCAUGAUGGAAUUAGGCCCCUUAUAUAAGGGGUUGAGGGCCUGGGUCUGUCUAGGCCCUCCUCUGAUGCUUAACCUGCCAGUGCCUUCAUCUUGGACUUCUUAGCCUCCAGAACUAUAAGACAUAAAUUUCCAUUGUGUACAAAUUACCCAGUCUUGAGUAUUUUCUUACAGUAGCACUAACAGAUAAGAACAAAUGUCAAGCUGCCUUGUGAACUUUCUGUGCUGCCAAAAAUUAAAACAAAAAUGAAGAUGUCUCUUCCCUUACAAAUUUGCAAUGAAUAGAUUUCUGAGUUUAAACCAGAGUUCCAGAAGAUUUUAUUACCUUCAAUGUAAGUGCAAAGGAGAUGUUUAUAUUUCAAAAUGUAUGUAACUUUAUUAUUAGAGUCCAUCUAACCUUCAAUUUAAAGUAAUUAAUCUGCAAUGUAAUGACCUGCUAAAAAGCAACUAUCAAGAGAAGAAUCUAACAGAAUUCCAUAAAUGAUCAACUAACAUGGAUUAAUAUCAAUAUUUGGCAGUAUCUUUGUGGAAAAGUGUUUUAAAGAUCAAAUAUGUUUUACAUAUAAUAUUACAGAUAAGCAUUAACAGAAGCAAAUUUGCAGUUGAUUUUGUUAAGAGAGAACACCACCUCUGAAUUUCAAUUAAGAAAAACAUUAUCCUCCCCAAAAAAUUCAGUUUUCUCAUUAGUGGAUCUGUAUCACAAACAACAUAUUAUUAUACAUAAUGUGACUUAGAGUAUUACAUAUAACAUUAUAUUGCUAUUACUUUUAAAAAAGUAAUUUGAAAUUUGGAAAUUUGGCUUCUUUCUUGUUAUAAGUAUGAAAUUCCCAUUUUUGCCUCUUGACUGUUUGCUGCAACAAAGUCUAAAAUAUUUACUAUAUGUUCCUUUACAGAAAAAGUUUACCAAUCCCAGGUCAAGAAAAACUAUGCUGCAGUAACAAUGAACCCUGAAAUGUCAGUGGUUUAAUACAAGAGGGGUUUAUUUACUGUUCAUGACUCAGCCUAAUGUGGGUCCUGCAAUUCUUCAUGCCCUCCUCCAGUGGUGACACAGGGAUCCAGGCAUCUUUCAUCUUGCAAUUCUGUCAUUUUGGAGUUCUUUAUUUCCACACUUUUAUUUGAAAGGGAGAGAAUAAGAAAAAUUCACAACUGUGUAUCUAGGUUGGAAUGGAAGUGAUGUAUCACUUAUGAUCAUAUUUGAGAGUCAUCAGAAUAGGAUAAUAUUUAAUGACCUGGUAAUGAAUGAGAUCAUAUACAAAGAAAAUAGACUGAGAAGAGAAAAAUCACUCAAGGAACAUACCCCAACACACCUUGAUAUAUAGCUGCACAGAAGCAAAGAGGAAAAUAAAUAGAGAAAGCUGUUGAGAAUGACAGUCAGAAGAGAAGGAAAACCAGACUUUGAUAUCACAAAAGUCCAACAAAGUCUCAAAAUGAAAAGAGAGAGUUAUAGUCUGUAAUAUCAAUUACUUAGUGUUAAGUGUGACUAAGACAAGUCAAAAUUCCCAUGAACUGAAUUUCCCACACCUGUAUAAUAAUAUAUUGAUAAUAUCUACUUCAAAAGAUCUAAUAUGAAGAUGAAAGGCAACUAUAUAUUUGAAAGUACUAUAAUUCCUACACAAAUUAUGAUGAUAAUUAUCAUUGCAGUCGCAUGACAGAGGCACCUCUACUCUGUGCCAAACUUCCUUGAAGAGUUAGAAUUCUCCCAUAACCUACCUUAACCAUUGCCUCCAACUUAACAUAUCAGAUUUUACCAAACUAGUUUGGGUGUGGAAAACCACAGUCUAAUUGAAAUGCAGUGAUUCCCAGCCUGAAGCAUUUCAGAGGCAGACCUACCUGAGUAUAUGAAUCUCUCUUUCAGUAGAAUGGGAGUGGUGUGUUAAAUCUUUACAAUUUUUCUGGGACAAAGAACCAACUCAAACUGGCAGCUACUGAGCCACCACAAGGCCAUAGGCAAACACAGUAAGCUAUAGAUUGAAAUUCUAGUAAGUAGUGCCUCAAACUGCAGGAAAUCAUAAAAGCAACUGAAUGAAAGCUGUGUCUGAAGCUCUCUGGCCAUUAGGCAUGACCAACAGUGAAGGUAAAAAUAAACAAAUAUAAAAAUAUGUCUCUACUUAACUCUAAACUUUCACUUCACAAAUUUUUAUUCAAAGACAUUUGCAAAAGUACAGAGGUUGGUUAUGUUUUUCUUUCUUUCUUCUUUUUUAUGAUACAUUGAAAUUAUCCAAUUGAAACCAUAUGUUGGCUCAAUAAUUCUCAAUUGCAAAAUGCUCACUAUUUCAAGAGCCAAUAAAAAGGGGAGGGACUAAUGUAGCAAGAUAAAUACUCUUGGAUAUGUGGAACCCUGUGUUUCCAAUUUAUCGGAACAGAGGAAAAGUUGCCUUUUUGAUUAAUUAUGUACAGAGCAGAAAUGCAAUGCUACUGAGGUAAUGAUGCACUGAUGUAUUGGAAAACACAUAUAAUUUGGAGAGAAACAAACCUAGGUUCAAAACCAGCUUUUCUACAUUUUCACUCUGUGUUCUUUUAAAGCAUUUGUAAUCUCACUGAGGCUCAGUUUCAUUUCUUGUAAUAUGAAGCUAAUAAUGCCUACCUUGCAAAACUGUCAUGUGGAACAAAUAAGCUUAAGAAGAUAAAGAAUAUAUAUGUCUGUCAUAUAGUUGGGCCUUGACAAUAAAUAAAAUGGAUGAUAACCUGA